rnacentral:rRNA from 1 species
AUUGAACGCUGGCGGCAGGCCUAACACAUGCAAGUCGAACGGUAACAGGAAGCAGCUUGCUGCUUCGCUGACGAGUGGCGGACGGGUGAGUAAUGUCUGGGAAGCUGCCUGAUGGAGGGGGAUAACUACUGGAAACGGUAGCUAAUACCGCAUAAUGUCGCAAGACCAAAGAGGGGGACCUUCGGGCCUCUUGCCAUCGGAUGUGCCCAGAUGGGAUUAGCUUGUUGGUGGGGUAACGGCUCACCAAGGCGACGAUCCCUAGCUGGUCUGAGAGGAUGACCAGCCACACUGGGACUGAGACACGGUCCAGACUCCUACGGGAGGCAGCAGUGGGGAAUAUUGCACAAUGGGCGCAAGCCUGAUGCAGCCAUGCCGCGUGUAUGAAGAAGGCCUUCGGGUUGCAAAGUACUUUCAGCGGGGAGGAAGGGAGUAAAGUUAAUACCUUUGCUCAUUGACGUUACCCGCAGAAGAAGCACCGGCUAACUCCG